rnacentral:rRNA from 1 species
CAGUCGCCGCGGUAAUACGUAGGUGGCAAGCGUUGUCCGGAAUUAUUGGGCGUAAAGGGCUCGCAGGCGGUUUCUUAAGUCUGAUGUGAAAGCCCCCGGCUCAACCGGGGAGGGUCAUUGGAAACUGGGAAACUUGAGUGCAGAAGAGGAGAGUGGAAUUCCGCGUGUAGCGGUGAAAUGCGUAGAGAUGUGGAGGAACACCAGUGGCGAAGGCGACUCUCUGGUCUGUAACUGACGCUGAGGAGCGAAAGCGUGGGGAGCGAACAGGAUUAGAUACCCCUGUAGUCCCUGUCUCUUAUAC